UACGUAGGGUGCAAGCGUUGUCCGGAAUUAUUGGGCGUAAAGAGCUCGUAGGCGGUUUGUCGCGUCUGCUGUGAAAACCCGAGGCUCAACCUCGGGCCUGCAGUGGGUACGGGCAGACUAGAGUGCGGUAGGGGAGAUUGGAAUUCCUGGUGUAGCGGUGGAAUGCGCAGAUAUCGGGAGGAACACCAAUGGCGAAGGCAGAUCUCUGGGCCGUAACUGACGCUGAGGAGCGAAAGCAUGGGGAGCGAACAGGA
rnacentral:rRNA from 1 species